rnacentral:rRNA from 1 species
AGUGGCGAACGGGUGAGUAACACGUGGGCAACCUGCCCUUCACUCUGGGAUAACCCCGGGAAACCGGGGCUAAUACCGGAUACGACCCCUGCAGGCAUCUGCGGGUCUGGAAAGUUUUUCGGUUGAAGAUGACCUCGCGGCCUAUCAGCUUGUUGGUGAGGUAAUGGCUCACCAAGGCGACGACGGGUAGCCGGCCUGAGAGGGCGACCGGCCACACUGGGACUGAGACACGGCCCAGACUCC